rnacentral:tRNA from 1 species
GCUCGCGUAGCUUAGGCAAAGCGUAACACUGAAAAUGUUAAGAUGGGACCUCAAAAGCCCCGCAGGCA